AUACGUAGGGGGCGAGCGUUGUCCGGAUUUACUGGGCGUAAAGGGUGAGUAGGCGGAUUUUUAAGUGAGAUGUGAAAUACUCAGGCUUAACCUGAGUGCUGCAUUUCAAACUGGAAGUCUAGAGUGCAGGAGAGGAGAAGGGAAUUCCUAGUGUAGCGGUGAAAUGCGUAGAUAUUAGGAGGAACACCAGUAGCGAAGGCGGCUUUCUGGACUGUAACUGACACUGAGGCACGAAAGCGUGGGGAGC
rnacentral:rRNA from 1 species